rnacentral:tRNA from 1 species
UCCCUGGUGGCUCAGAUGGUAAAGCAUCUGCCUAUAAUGCAGGAGACCCAGGUUCGGUCCCUGGGUUGGGAA